rnacentral:rRNA from 1 species
AGCGAACGCUGGCGGUAGGCCUAAUACAUGCAAGUCGAACGGCAGCACAGUAAGAGCUUGCUCUUACGGGUGGUGAGUGGCGGACGGGUGACGAAUACAUCGCAAUCUACUUUUUCGUGGGGGAUAACGUAGGGAAACUUACGCUAAUACCGAAUACGACCUACGGGUGAAAGCAGGGGAUCAUCGGACCUUUGCUGCUCGAAUGAGCGGACGUCGGAUUAGCUAGUUGGUGGGGUAAAGACCCACCAAGGCGACGAUCCGUAGCUGGCCGGAGAGGAUGAUCGGCCACACUGGAACUGAGACACGGUCCAGACUCCUACGGGAGGCAGCAGUGGGGAAUAUUGGACAAUGGGCGCAAGCCUGAUCCAGCCAUACCGCGUGGUUGAAGAAGGCCUUCGGGUUGUAAAGCCCUUUUGUUGGGAAAGAAAAGCGGCAGGUUGGAACCCCGAUGUUCUGACGGUACCCAAAGAAUAAGCACCGGCUAACUACGUG